AUGAAAUUUACACUUACAGGUGGUGAUAAAUUUGUUGCUAAUAUCUAUAUGAACUUACAAUGUAAUAUAAGGGAAAAGGGGCGGAACAGUAAAGGGUAAUGUUGUCACUAGGAAAUGUCAUAGUACUUAUAUAAUCCCACCUUCCCUAAAGUAUUUAUUUUUAUACCUUCCCCUACUGGUCAACAGUGUCCAGAUAACUCAUCAUCUUCCCUGGUUUCCUUCUGUCCCUCCAACUUUUAUCAGGCUGCCUCCAAGAUCCCUCAGUGCAAAAACUAGAUUGACGUGUUUUGGUGUCCACGUAGGUGAAAAACAUGCGGUGGCUGGGCCUGCCAAUUGACGUGUUUUGUUAUGUUAUCUCCUUGAACUUGUAUUGCAGGGUGAUUUUGUAAACACUUAUCGAUUCUGUGAACUUAUUCAAGCAUGCCCUCUUGUUACUCA